rnacentral:rRNA from 1 species
GAUGAACGCUGGCGGCGUGCCUAAUACAUGCAAGUCGAGCGAAUGGAUUAAGAGCUUGCUCUUAUGAAGUUAGCGGCGGACGGGUGAGUAACACGUGGGUAACCUGCCCAUAAGACUGGGAUAACCCCGGGAAAACGGGGCUAAUACCGGAUAACAUUUUGAACCGCAUGGUUCGAAAUUGAAAGGCGGCUUCGGCUGUCACUUAUGGAUGGACCCGCGUCGCAUUAGCUAGUUGGUGAGGUAACGGCUCACCAAGGCAACGAUGUGUAACCGGCCUGAGAGGGUGAUCGGCCACACUGGGACUGAGACACGGCCCAGACUCCUACGGGAGGCAGCAGUAGGGAAUCUUCCGCAAUGGACGAAAGUCUGACGGAGCAACGCCGCGUGAGUGAUGAAGGCUUUCGGGUCGUAAAACUCUGUUGUUAGGGAAGAACAAGUGCUAGUUGAAUAAGCUGGCACCUUGACGGUACCUAACCAGAAAGCCACGGCUAACUACGUGCCAGCCGCCGCAGUAA